GGAUGAACUUUAUUUUUAAUGAAGAUCCAGACCACUUCGCAGUAAUGAAGAAAUAACAUAUGCUGAUCCAACAUUCUACAAAAGAAAAGCACAAAAAACAAGAGUUCAAGAGGAGGAAGAUGUGGUGUAUGCAGGAGUCGCCAUGAGACACUGAUAAAACUAUGAUUCUGUUGAAGAACUGCCAACUUUCUAAAACCCAAAAGAAGGAGGUGGAUUAUUAGUGUGGA